AGGGCUCAGACAGACAGAUCAAUUAUAUAUUGGAGAAGGGGAAGAGGGUAGGGUGAAAGAUGACAUCACUGUUUCUGUGAAUUCUGGAAAGGUGGUAUUUUUAUAUAUACUGAGUGAGAAGAGUAUAGCAUCCACAGACAUUAUCUACAAAUAAUUAAAAAUGCAGAUGAGUUUAGAGCUGUGCAUAUAAAUUUAUCAGUGAGGGUGCAGAAGCAAGUACUCUUAGGAGUUUUUCCCCUCCUAACUCCUACCCACUUAUUCCAGGUCUACCUUCCGGCACUCUACUAAUAAGGGCACCCUGUCACCUCAAACUCCUGCCCUUAGCCCUGCACCUUAAAUAAGGGCUCCUCUCUGACCUUCCUCUAGCCAUAUCCUCUGUCUUGGAGAUGUGUCCCCAACCUGGAUCCUGUGCCCAUCCCCCUCCUAGACUAUGCUCACAGCACCUCUGGACCCUGGACUUGCUUCUCUACAUGUCUCCAUCUUACCUCCAGAGCACUCUUCACCUCUGUUCUCAGUAUGGCCUCCUGAUGGCUUCCCAUACCAUAAGUGCCCUCUUGAGCCUGAGAGAUGGAUGUCUGGAGGAUGGGGUUGGGGGAGUGCAUAUGGACAGGGUUGGGACAUGUGAGCUGGAGUGCCUACUGCAUGAAGGUGGACUCCCCAGCAGAGCAGAUAAAGCCAGGGAGGGUAGAGAAGGGCCCUGGCUAGGCUGGGGUCUCCAUUUGUAUUCUUGCCCUGGGCUCUGUGAGUGGGGCCCUUCAACUCCACUCACUUGUUCUCAUUUCAGUACUUUAGUUGUUUUACAAUGGUCUGCAUCUUUCUUUCCAUCUUCAGCCAUCAUUCUUGGUGUGUGGAACUCUCAGCUGAGUGUGGUCUGUGACAAGCCCAGGCACUUCUUCUCACCUCUGCUCCACAGCCUUCCCCAUCCUGGUUCUUUGUUCUGGCUGUUCUCCAUUCAUCUCUUAAAAGGUGGAGUAGCGACUGUCUGCUAUCCGUAUAGAACACUGUGGGGACAUGGCCCAGUGGAUGGAGUCAGGCUUCUGUAGAGUUCUACAGGUUCACCUUGGAUGGGGAGCAGAGACCAUGUCCUGGAGUGAUAUUACAGAGGGAGUGGAGAGAUUUGGUCUCUGGACUUCCUCUACAGAUAGGAAGCGUGUCCUGGAAAGCUGGGGUCUUCUAGAAGAUGCCUGACCAGUCCACCAGCAGAGAAUAUGGUGGAAACACUGGCUGCAUGAUGUAGGUGAGGCACAUGGAGGACUUUGGCUUCUGGGAGUUCUCAAGAUCUUUGGUCCAGAAAGAAUUAAUAUCUUAUAACCUUGUAUUUACACAUUGUAUUAACAUAUCAAAAGCAACUUUUCUAGGUCGAUUAUGUAAUGUGAUCCUAGUACAAUCUGCCAAAAUUGUACUUGGAGAAAUUUUACCACAAAGUGGCAUAAAGUAACUAACCUCAGUGUUCAUUUUGUUCUUCCUGCAUUUGGCUGACUUCUCCUCCAUCCGUCACGUCAAAGCUUAAGUGUCCCUUUUCAGAUUGGUGUUUUCUGACUAACCAAUCUCAUAACCAAUUGUCCAUUAUUCUUUACUUCACCAAAUGUUGUUGAGUGGCUAGGAAGUGCCUGUAUCCCUCAAUCCAUGUCCUUAUGAAACUGAAAAUUAUCGAGAAUUUGUUACUGUAUCAGGCAGUGUGUCAUGAAUUAUAUUUACAUUUUCUUAUUUUAAUCUUAUGAGGUGUGUACUAUUUAUCAUCACCAUUUUACAAAUAAGAAAGCUGAGUUACAGAGAGGUUAAGUUACUGCCCAAAGUCAGUAAGGGCCAGAUCUGGAGUUGAUCCCAGGAAGUGUGAUUCCAGAGCGUGGACAUUUCCUGUUCUUUUCCUUCAUUACAUGUCUCUCAUGACAAUUGUAUGUGUUACAGGGGGUUGAGGGAGACUUUUUUUUUUAUUGUCAUCUUGGAAUGGCUGCCAACACCCAAAGGUGACACUAGACGUGCUUAGCCCUCAUUCUAAAGAGAGCUCUUAACCAGUCUUCAACAAUUGGUGUGGAACUGGUGUGAAUAUCACUGACUUGCCCCCAGUCCCAGGUCUAUUAGGAGAAGGCUGAGCUGGAGAAGAGGGCUGGGAUCCUCAGAGUCCUCAGUUUGUGGUAGGUACAGAAUUCCUGGUGAUAGAACUCACCCAGGGGUUGGGGAAGGACUGUUUUCCCCCUCCUCCACACCAAGGAAGAGUUGGGGGCAUGUUAAAGGAAUCACUAGCAUAUUUCUUGUCUGCCUGAACAUCUUCCUGGGUAAUGGUUCUGCUGUCUUUUCCAUCUAGGAGGAAGAAAGAGUGGAGAAAGAAGGCAGGGCUGAGAGAAGCCCUGGUGAUGGGCCUGGCUCUCUCCCAAGGCUUGCCACAGCAGGAUGGCUGAAUUUACAUGGGUCAGAAGGACACUGAGGAAAGUGCUGGGCCUGCAAUGACUUGCUGGCUCCCACUUAAGGCGUCCUGCUUCUGGAUGAGGGGUUGUCCUACAGCCAGGGUCUCUGAGGUACAUAUCAGGUAGCCAGAGGUGGGGGUGGGGAGGAAUUGCUCAAGUCCCCUUCCCCUUCCUGCCCUCAGUGCAGAGCAAACCACAGCCAGAGAGCCAGGUAGGGAGGGGAAUGCAGAGCAGACCCCACCCCAAUCAUUUAAGGCCCUCCAGCAGCAAGUCAUAGCAGAGGACUUUAGAUAAGAAAUGGGAAUUUAAAGUGGUCUGGUCUAAAUUUGAAUAACUGAAAGUGAUAGGAAGUAAUGGAAUGUGUCUGAGAUAUUUUAAAAGGGAGGAAAAAGGGAAGGAGGUGAUUUGACAGAGCACAGUAGAGGACAGUGUGAAGAGUCAAAUCUAUAUCAUAUUUAUUGCCUGUGGAUUUGAAACCUCUUGGUGAACUGGUCCACGUGUUUAACCAUGUACUCAUUUCCAGACCAUCUUCCUAACUAGGUUGUAAACCCUAUGAGGGCAGGACCUAACUGUCUUAUUUACUGCUCUGUCCAUAGUGCCUAGUACAGAGUCCAGCAAAAUAAGUUCUAUUGAAGCAAAAAGUAAGACACGGCAUUAGGCUUGGGGAAAUUCUAGUGGUUAUUACUCCUGGUAUUCCUAGCCCUCAUCCCAGGAGAUGCUCUGGAAUCCUAGAUGCAAAGGGCCUCAUAGCAAGAAGACCUCAGGGCAGGGGUUAAGAAGGUGCAGCAUAGGCAUGCAGAGUUUCCCUUUCCUUAUCUAUGAACUGCCUCAGUCAUAUCAACCUCUCAGGAUUAUUGUAGAAUUUAAGUGAGAUCAUGCAUGUAAAGACCUUAGAGCAGUAUGUGGGUCAGCGAAAAUGUCUGAUAGAUAGUGGAUUCUGAUUAUUAGGGAGGUGCAAAUGACAUUGGGGACUACAUUUCAAGGCAUAUGUAGUUAAAGACCUAAAUGUAAGACUCAAGACUGUAAAACCAGUAAAGGAAAACACAGGGGGGAAAUGCUACAACAUUGGUCUGGGAACUGAUUUCUUGGAUGUGACGCCAAAAUAACAGGAAAUAAAAGUAAAAAUAGACAAAUUGGAUGGCAUCAAAUUAAAGAGCUUGUGCAUAGCAAAGGAAACAAUUAACAAAGUAAAGAGACAACCCACAGAUUGGGAGAAAAUAUUCAUGAAUCAUGUGUUGGAUAAGGGACUUGAAAAUAUGUAAGGAACUCAAACUACUCAAUAGCAAGAAAACAAAUAACACUAUUUUUAAAAUGUGCAAAGAACCUAAAUAGACAUUUACCAAAAGAAGAUGUACAAAUGGUCAUCAGGCACAUGAAAAGAAAGCUGAACGUCAUUAAUCAUCAGGGAAAUGCUAAUCAAAACCACAAUGGGACAUCACUUUACACUCGUUAGAAUGGUUAUUAUCAAAAAGAUAAAAGGUGAAGUGUGGGUGAGAAUGUGGAGGAAAGAGAACCUUCACACACUGUUGGUGGGAACAUCAAUGAGCUAUUUUGGAAAAUAGUAAGGAGGAUCCUCAAAAAACUAAGAAGAAUUACCAUAUAUUCAAGCAAACCCACUUCUGGGUAUAAACCCAUAUGAAUUAAAAACCAGUAUGUUGAAGAAAUAUCUAAACUCUCAUGUUUAUUGCAGCACUAUUCACAAUAGCCAAGAUAUGAAAACAAUCCAAUAUGGAUAAAAAAACAUGGCAUAUAUACUCAAUGGAAUGUUAUUCAGCCAUAAAAAAAGAAGGAAAUUCUGUCAUUUGCGACAAUAUGGAGGAACCUGGAAGACAUGAUGCUAAGUGAAAUAAGCCAGGCACAGAAAGACAAACAGUGCAUGACCUCGUUAUAUGUGAAAUUUAAAAAAAGUCAAUCCCAUGGAAGCAGAGAGCAGAAUGGUGGUUACCGGAGGCUGAGGGAGGCGGCGGAGAGAUGUUGGUCAAGGUGUCCAGUUCUAGUUCCACAGGAUGAAAAAUUUCCAGUGAUCUUCUACACAGCAUAGUGACUAUAAUUAAUAAUAAUAUAUAUUUCAAUAUUGUUAAGAGAAAUUUUAAAUGAUUUUACCACCAACAAAUGGUAAGCAUGUGAGGUGAUUACCAUUGUAUAUAUAAUUACCAUUGUAUAUAUAACUAUAUAUACAAUUACUAUUUUCCAAUUAAAAAAAUUAAAAAGAAGAUAUAUGUGACCCAAAUCAUAGGAGACUUUUUGAGUCGCACAUGCUAAAGCUUGUAAUUUUAAGGCUAAGAGCUUCAGGAGCUGGUGGGGAGAGCGAAGUCCCCAGUGCUGUGUAUGGUACUGAGAAGGAGGAGCCUAUUGGACUUUUAAAGUGUGUGAUGUAUAAAUAAGGAGGAGAUUACAUAUGAGAAAGUGUUUUGCAAAGCACGAAGUGAAUAAAAGUGUGAGGAUUUAUGUGUUUAUAGCCAGAACACUGCAAGAGUUAAUAACGGGCCUCUGGCAGGGUCUUAUUGUUUAUUUAUAGAAAUUCCAUGGGGAGUAGAGAAGGGAAGGAAGUAAGAAUGUAUUUCUGUGCAGGAGUGUGAAUGGGAUAGACAGAGAGAAGGUAAGGUGCUGGGGGAGAUAUUCAGGUUCAGCUUUUCUCAGGCUUCCAUUGAACACCCGCUCCUGGCCAUCUUCCUUAGCCCCUUCUUCACUCCUGUAUCUUCCAGCUGUCUUAGUGCCACCUUCUCCGGCCAGUUCUGUCUGGACACCCUGUCUGACCUUGAGCUAUCACCCAGUCCUUCUGUAUAGCCUCAGCAGGGAGAGCCAAGUCCUGGCAGAGGCCUCGCUGAAAGUGACUCACUGUGAAAGCUGGGCUUGUUCUCCUCAAAGGGCGAAGCUGUCUAACGACAGGGACGGGAGCGUUCCCUAGCCCAGCCCUAUUCCUUCACAAGUUCUCUUUGGAAACUACUCUUACCCUUCCCAGGAUGACCUUCAUCCUUAAUGAAAUGGAAAAACAGAAUGUCAGGACUUGCUUCCUUUCCAAAGAAAAGAGGAGCACACCGAAGUGCAUUUUAAAUGAUCUCUGGCAAGCCUGGAGUGGCAGGGAGGGGAGGAGCUGACUUGUCUUUUCUUUGGUAGGUAUCUGGGAACUUGGCCCACAUCUGCUUUCUCUUACGAAAUGUGAAGGGCAACGUGUCAUUCUCGGAGAGUCACUGCAAUUCCCCCAAAAGUAAACCUUGCCCCUCUUUGGGUCUUCAUGUACAGGUUCAGUUGUGUCCAUUGAGCAUGUUUGUAUUUAGAGGGAAGGAAGUUAGGCAGGAGCCACCAAAGAAGUUUGAGAUAAGACCCCUGCUCUAUUCCAGGGCUUAUACCCAGGACAGUAGAGAGCAAAGGAAAUGCUUAAACCACUGGGAACUAUAAGGAAUUGAAUGAAAGGGUUCUUAAGGGAUGGGUGGUUGAAAAUGGCUUCUUGAGUGGAGACAUGAAAGAUGGAAUCUGAACAGAUGGAAAAGAAAAGAGAUGGUGUUCUAGAAGGGCCCAGAGCAUGAGAAGGGCAUGAAGUGGCAAUAAUUAUGGUGUGGUGGGAAAGCAGAGAGAUAAGCAUGGGUGGCCAGAAGGGCUGGGGGCUGCAGUGAGGCUAAGAUAUGGCCAGGUGAGAGAAGUUGAAGAAAGUGGUCUUUCACUGUCUCUCUAACAGGGAAACACACUGAAGUGUCUCUACAUGGAAGCAAUGCAAUGAGAGCAGAGGGUUAGAAGGUUUGGCCAGGAUGGCUGAGGGAGAGAGAUGGGGCUCUGAAGGUCAGUUCUGGAGUCAUGGUGGUGAAGCAGCUGAGAAGAGAUUGACACUUGGGCCAGGGGUGUGCAGUGGGUCUGACUAGAUAUGAGGGGAGCAAGGCAGCCCCAGCUCUUCUUUUGCACUAGCUAUUUUGGGGCCUUGAGUAUGGAAUGAGAAGAGAAUACUGGCUGAGCUGGUUUGGCCAUUGUUGUCCAGUUAAUGCAAAGUGGCUUGCUGCUUGUGAGAAUGACCCAGAGGAUAGUGCUGGGUGAAAUAUGCUUUUGGUGCCUCCUAAUCAACUUGAAGGUGUAGCAUCUGUGGCUGUUUGCUUCUAGUUGUUUGUUUUAUAUAGUAAAUGGUGAUGGCCAAGAACUGAAGGUCAGCGCACAUGCCAUGAUUUUGAUUUGGUUCGGUGAGUGAGUUUUUGAUUCUUCAUGGGAAUCCAAUUUGCAGAAAUUUUAAUUGCCAACUCUUUCAUCAGAAAGGACUCAUGUGUUUACUUUUUGUUUUUCAGAGCAUGUAAGUGAACAAUGAUGACUUCUGAGCACUCAAAAUCGUGAAUGAGGAACUUGCACUAAGUUUUAGCUAUUAUAAGGAGACAUCUUCCUUAAGGAUCUCCUAACUUAGAGCCUAAUUACUUUAAAAUAUCUUCUUUGUCUUAGCUCACAGAACAGUGGAGGGUUAGAAAGUGUUGGUGUGUGUAAAAAAUCAGUAUGUGUGUGGGUUUAUUUGUGUGUGUGUGUGUGUGUGUAAAAUGGUGGUGGUGGUCACACUAGCAACAGUGAAAUGAAAUAAUUAAUAAUCAGAGAGAAAAGGACAAGAUAAAAGCCAAAUAACUCAUGAGGGCAUUUCUGCAUGGCAUAAUCACUGAUUUUCACAGUGAUCACCUUAAGUUUUGAUGAGAAACUUAUGUUGGAUAUUCUGUUAAGGAGACUAGGAAGGACAUAACGCUUUUCAGAAUGAUUUCCAUCUUUAUGAGGGGUAAUGAGCUCAAAUGUCUUCCAAAGCCAGUGAGUGGAUAAUGUUAUUAGUGAAGUGGAUCAGGCAUAUAUAAUAAAAGGGGUGGUGUGUCCAAAGACAUGGAAAUCUAGUUUAAAAAAUGCUCUCAUGCCAACAGACGCACAUAUGCCAGCUAGAUUCGGCCAGUAGGCUGCCACUGUGAGAUGCCUGGUCUAAGUGGUUAAAUUUAAGUUUAAGGGCUGGAAGCCUUUUGAAAAGUGCUGAAUGAGGAAGAGUUGGCUUCCUAGAAACAGAUAACCUCGCCCUGAAUUAAAAAUAUUUAGCAGAACUUGCCUAGCAGAGAAAAUGUCAAACUUUCUCUUGUCUUCGGUGCAUGAGGCCAGCAAGCAGAUGACUGAACGGAAGCAUAAGUGAGUCAUUUCUCUUAAGAAGUCUCAGACUUAGCAGGGAUAUUAACAAUGAGCACUGAGGAAUUUUCCCUCUCAUUUUCUAGAAUUUCUGUCUUUUUCUGAGCAAACUAGGAAACAAAACUCAAAACAUCUCAAAGGGCCACUGUAAACAUGAUCAUUCCUUUGUACAGAGAAUCCCUACUUUCUGAAGUCAAUUAAUUAUUCCUUAAUUCAAAUCAACCCAGAGAUUUCAUGGAUAUCCCUGAUUUAAUUCCAUUUGCUUUGGGCUAUUCAGAAUUGCAGGAGAAUUGAAUGUCUCUUAGCAGAUCCUUUGCUAUAUUUGGGGAAUCAAGGGAAUGUCUGCCAGUGGCACUCACAGCUACCCUUCUGGUUUGUUUUCACUGUCACCAGUCCCAAAGUCGAGUUUCUUAUUGGUUUUCAAGUGAGUUUGUUUUCACAAGUCAAUUUGUGUGUGAUGGGAUCAGAUAAGCCCUUCCUACAGGAAAGAACAACAUUCUGAAGUCUGACUUGCUUUUAGAAAUCCUUGGCCCUAAAUCAGAGUUGGAGACAUGUUUAUAUCUGGGGCUAAAAAUGACCAACUGAGACUUGGUAAACAAGUAAAUGAACAUGACACUGGACCCAAAGGAGAAGAAUUGCAGCUUUGAUAAAUGGCAACUUGAUUUGGAAAAGAGAUGCCUUUAUUUAAACACCAUCAUAGCCAAGUGGCCUGGGAUGAAGACUUUGCAAUGGGUCUUUGAGCAGACCACAUGAGGUACGGCUCUGAAUUGCAAAGGAUCCUUUCAUUUGCCACUAAAUCAGUCCUUUAUCAAAACAGCACCAGCCUCUGAAAGAAGGUUUUCAUGUUGAAAAUAGAAUUUACUUGCAAAAAAACCUGGUUGAAUCUAUUAUAUAACUCAGAAGAAUUUUCCUUUACGUCAACACUGCUGUGUUUGAACUAGCCUUGUGGUCCCUUAAACAUGGAAGGAUUCGACUUAGCUUCAUUCCUUCUUGAUCUUGAAUGCUGAAGAAACCACAGUCUUAUUGGGGUAUGUUCUACAUUUUAAAUUUCAACACAUCAUUUAUCUUAUUCUUUUGAUUUAUAUUUGGGGAUAACAGUGCAACCUUGUAUAACAAACAGCCACUAGGAUGAUCAACAGCUAUUUGUCUGUGCUCAUUGUGGCUUCAAAAUUAGGAAUGAGUCGAAAUGGAUAAACCCAAGAUAUGCAGGUUUGGCAGCAUUUUUGUUUGUCAUUAAUUAAUCAAGGGAGGAUGGUUUUCUGCCUUGGGUCCCAGUUUGUUUUCUGACUCCUGUGCAAGACAAGAGGAGAGGUGGUGGUCACUGAGAGCUGCACACUAUCCUUGCUGAGUGCUGAAUGGUGCCGGGUACUGGGCUCGACCCAAGAUUCACAAGUAUGUGUAACAGGUACAGUCCUUGCCUUCAGAAAGUCACAGUCUAGUGGGAGAGGCAGAUAUUAAUGAGACAGUCUCCCAUUAUAAGUGUUUAAUUAUACACUGGUGUAGGUGUCAUGAAGGAAAGCAGUUGGUGUUAGCAGAAUUCUGAGGGAAGCCUGACAUAGUGUGGGGGUCUUGGAAGGCUAUGUUCUGAAGGACAACCCUCACCAGGAGGAGAAACCAGGUACCAGGUGAAAGCUGGGGAAUGAUGUAGGGACCAGCAUUGACACAGGAGUACUGGGCUGCAUGAACAGCUCCAUCUUGAUUAUGGCAACAGUCACCAUAGGUUAUAACUCCUAGCAAACUCCUACCUCUCAUUCAAAGACUGUUUCAAAAAUUACCUUCUUUAUGAAGUGUUCUUUGAAUCCUACAGACAGAAUUACUCCCAUGCUAGAACUUGGCUUAUACCCCUGAUGAAACAUUGGGGAGACCCUUUGUGCUUUGAAUCUGAGAGGCAGUAUGUGUCUAUGGAGCCAGGCCCGCUGAGUUCAAAUCCUGAAUCAACUAUUCAUUUGACCUUGGGAAAAUUCCAUAACCCCUCUGCAUUUCAGUUUUGCCAUUUGUAAAAUGGAACUAUCAAUAGCACCUUCCUCAUAGGUUUGAUGGGAAGAUUGGAAGUGUCAUUAUAAACACUGUGCCUGGUUCAGUGCUUUGGACGUAGUAAAACUACUAAUGUGAUCUGUACUUUUCUAAACAUGUCUGUUUCCUCAUUAGUUUUGCCCAAGUGCUCAGAGCUGGCUGGAGUCCAAUCAGGAACUCCACCCGUAUCUAUAACAUUGGGUUCAGUGCUCAUUCUGGGAAAAUCAGGCUGCCUUCAAUUACAAUGCCUCUCAAACUUUAUGUGUACUUGAAUAGCCUAGAAAUCUUGUUAAAAUGCAGGUUCUAGUUCAGUUGAUCUAGGUGAUGAUCUAUGCACUUAGUGUGUAUAUUGAGAAGUAAGGGUCUAUAUACCAGCCUGAGUGAGCUCUCUGAUUCUACCUGAGUUCUGGGGGAGAGACAUGAGCCUGUGGAAUGUGGAAGAGACUCACUCUAUAAUGCCUGCACUGGACAUUGCAGCCCUCUCCUUGUCUGGACCAGUGUCCCAUCUGCCUUAGCUACUCAGUCGGUAUGAGGGGACUAUCAUCAGAUUACCAGUAAUGAUCCAGUUAUUGAGGACUCUGUCAGUUAGGGUUCUCCAGAAAGAAAGGAGAAAAUGAGUGAGAUUUAUUUUAAGGGACUGUAGGGUAGACUGGCAUGCUGGAAAUUCAGAUGAGUAUUAUUAUUGAAGUCUCUAGCUUGAGAUGUGUUGGGUGGUCCAGCAGGCUGGAAGCUCAGACAGAAUUUCAUAAGCUAGAAUUCCUUCGUUCCUGGGAAAUCUUUGAGUUUGUUUUGAUGUUCUUCCACUGAUUAGAUGAAUCCCACCUAUGUUAGACAGGGUAAUCUGUUUUACUUAAAGUCCGUGGAUAGAUGUUGAUCACAUCUGUAAAAUACCUUCAGAGCAACAUCAAUACUAGUGUUUGUCCAAACAACUGGGCACCGUAGCCCAGCAAGUUGACACAAAAAAUGAACCAACAUAAGCACCAAAGAGCAUGGCCUGCUUCACAGUCAUCCUUUUCAUUUCUACCAUAGCCAACUGUGGAGAAAUCCCUAUAAACCCACCUCCUUUGUGGGGCAGAGUCUCCAUGUGCGUGACCCUCAUCUUGGGGUUUAAAAGAUGCCAUUAAUGUUUGAGAGUUGCCAGUGAUUGUGGUCUGUGCUCUGUUAUAGCCAACUUGAACCCAAUUAACCAACUCUCUUGGCUAGGUUUCUUAGUGAAAAUCAGAAGUUGCCCCCGUUCAAACAAUUGCCCACCUUGGUGUGCCCAGCUCAGGGUUGAGAAUUCAGAUACUGUUUGUGUGGGGUCACACCACUGGAUUGUAAGCAACAAGCAGUUCUUUCAGGAGGUCUUGGACAGCUGCUAAGACCCCGCUGUGGUCUUGGCCACAUCUGGCCACAGAGCCAGAGCUGAACCAAUAUUCUGCCGUCCUUAGGGAAACGCUUGUUGAGCCAACACCACACUGUGGGAUGGUGGCAGCAGGUACAUUCAGACUUCAUAUUUACUUCUGUUCAGCUUUCCCAAGGCAAUUUCCAGGUUGUGAUUUCAUUUUAUGUUGAUUAUAGUUUGGUGGGAUAGUUGGAGUAGAUGGUGUUAAUGUUCAUGUUUUCCUGAGUUGGUGAAAUGGUACCAUUUGGAAACCGGCAGAAUUCAGUUGGAAUUUGUAUCCAUCUCUUACUAGCUGAGUGACCCUAGACAAGUUGCUUCAACUCAGUAGCCAUAUCUGCAAUAACCACCUUAAAUGUUUGAAGCAAGGAUCAUAUAUCAUAUAGCUCAGCAUCUCUUAUCUAGUAGAUGCUUAAAAAAAUGACUUUUUAUCACUAUUUUAGUUCACAUGCCUUGGGUCCUGCCUUCCCCAGAACCCUUCUAUGCUGACUAUGCCUACCCACGACCCUUGAGGAGGUGCCAGCUGAAGUGCCUGGGCUUGUGCUAUGUGAUCUGCAUCACAAACACAGCUGAUUAGGGAAGUAAAGUCACCUUGCCUAUGAUGGACUUGGAUUCCUCUCCUAGGAAUUGGAACAUUAAGGGAUUGAACUCUUGAGCAGUGGGGAAUUAAGCUACAAGGUUGUAUGGUUUUGGGAACCAGGGCAACUAUGAUAACUACUGUAUACGCUUAGGUAGUGACAGGGGAAGCCUUUUGGUGGAGAAAGAGGGAGACAGAAGCGAGAAGGCAUAAGAAGAGAUGUGUUGUAGAGUUCUUAAAAAACAGAGCCACAGUUAAUAGCUUUCCAGUUCCCAUUAGGCCAGAUGGAGUCUUUCCUGCCCUUGGAUUCCAUGGAACCUAAAUUCUUUUGAUAAAUCAAAAAAAACCCUUUUCUUGGCUGGGUUCAUAGGUAGUGUUCUGUGAAAUAAGAUCAAUGAUGUUAAGGAGAUGAUGAAGAGAUGGAGGCUCUAACAGGCAAGCAUUUAAGCAGUCUGGAUGCCCAGUCCAAGGCUCAUGCUCUUCGCUGCCUUGUCUGAUGAGUGCAGUUAUAAUGAUUAUUUUCUCUGCUCUGGGGCUGCUGGGGAGUGGUUGGAGAAGGAAGUAUGGUAUAGGAGGCAUGAUGUGGAGGUAAUUCUGUUUGACAUUUCCUCUCUGUGACUUUCAUGCAGCUGCUCUCCCAGGUUCAUUUCAGAAUCAUGAAAGUAUCUUUGAUGCCUUCCUUCUUGGAUUGGGCACCAGUUCUCAAUGACCUCCCUAUCUUCUCUGAAGGAGAGAAGUUAUUGGAUUAUUGGGGAUGAAUCCCAGGGGAUUUGGUUUAAUAUGGUUCCCACCUAAUAAAAUCAUCUGACUCAGAAGUCAGGUUUCUCUGACCUUUCUGUGAACCAAUAUGUUGGUAAUAAUAUGGGGCCUAAAGAUGAAGAUAAAUCUGGGGAAGACCUAGGCACUCCCCUUGAAUAUUCCAGAGUGACUUGUCUGAGCUUAAAACUCACCAUUGGCAUCACCGGGGCUAAGGUGUUGCAGGAAACUGGGGUACCUCCUCAGACUUGGCUGUCACAAUGGGGCAGCAUGUCAAGCCUCCAGUGAUGGUUGGCUAGACCUGAGCUUUCAAACUUUGAGGGCAUUGAAGGGCUAGCCAUAUCAGAAUCAAAGAGGCAUUCAGUCCCUUUCUGAUUCAGAAUGUAUAGGAUGAAGCUUUGGGUAGCUCUAAUUUUAACAAAUACUAGGUGAUUCUAAUCAAAUCAUCAGCCAUGAUAGAAACAACCCUCACAUAGAUGGCCUCAAUGGAGGUCAGCCUAAAAUUCUCUGAAAUGAUGUAGCAAGUAUGUUGCAUGGGAAGUUUUGUAGUUUAAGCCCCAACUUCAAAAUAGAUGCUACUAUAGGUUAAGUUAAGUCCCUCUAAAUUCGUGUUUGAGUCCUAACCCCCAAGACCUCAGAAUAUGACCUUAUUUAGAAAUAGAGCCUUGUAGGUAUAGUUAGUUAAGAUGAGCUUAUAUGGAAUAGAGUGGGCCCCUAAUUCAAAAUAACUAAGGUGUUGCAGGUUCUUAUAAAAAGGGGAAAUUUGGACAUAAAGACAGACAUAGCUAGAGGGAAGAUGAUAUGAAGAGACAUAGGAAGAACUAUGUUGCCACAACCCAAGGAGCAUCUGGAAUCACCAGCAGCUGGAAGAGGCAAGGAAGCAUCAUCCCCCACAUUGUUUUCAGGGGAGUAUGGCUCUACCAACACCUUGAUUUCAGACUUGUAACUACUGUGUGUGUAACAAUCAAUUUUCAUUGUUGUAAGUCACAAAGCUUGUGGUUCUUUGUUACACUAUCCCUAGGAAACUAGUACUGAUGCUUCCACUUUUUUAAGUUUUUCAUAUUAGCCACUCUCCAUUUCAUUCCUUUUGAGUUGUUCCUCUUAUUCUCUUGGGUGUGAAAUGAUGACUCUAUGAGGCCUGGGUGUAGUCUCUGGGAGUGUCCUUGUGGGUAGGGUGGAGUGGAGUGUUGAACAGACAGGAAAUCUCCAUUCCCCUGAGGAAUGUACCAGUACCAUAUGAAGUGAGCAGGAAUCUAAGGCCUUAAUGUACAAGAGGAAGGUUGCCUCUCCCUUUUAUUCCCCUUUGUGAAUCUGACCAGGUAUUUUAAAAAGCUAAGCAUCUUUUAAUGCCUGAAAAUUCUCUAAAUUUCGAGUGUGCAAUUGUAGGUAGGUUCUUCUUUUUUGGGUCCAGGUAAAUUCAUAGCACAAUAGUUAAGAGCAGGGCUUUUGAGCCAAACUGCUGGUAUCUGGAUCCUACUGGCUGUGUGGUUUUGGGAAAGUUGUCUGGUCUAUGGGUCCUCAUACUAGAGUGUUCAGGGCUUGCCAAAAGACAGAUUGCCCCACCCCUAGAGUUUCUGAGUCAGUACAGCUGAGGUGGGGUCUGAGAAACUUAAUUUCUAACAAGUUCCCAGGUGAUGCUGAUAUUGCUGGUCCUGGGACCAGCACUUUGAGAACUUCCAAACCCUAGUCUCUCUCAGCCUCUGUUUUCCCAUCAGUAAAAUGGGGUUUGUGGUAUUUCCAAGUUACAGAGUUGUGAUGCUUAAGUGAGGUGAUGAAUGUUAAGGGCUUAGUGCCUUGCUCUGGAUGGAGCUCAGUGAAUGUCAGUGGUCUUUAUCUGUACUGAUAUUGAUUGAAGCCCUCUUCUGUGCUUGACCUGCUGAGUCUCCCCAAGAUGUUCCAAAGUCAGGAAACAUCCAAAGAGAAUUCUGGCUGGCAUGCAAAGAAAUGUCACCUCCUGUUUGGAUUUUCAAGGAGUUAAUUAUUGUAAAACUAAGGGAUACCUCUUACUACAUCAAGGACGUGUCUCCCUCGUAAGCCAGUAAUUGGGCACUGAGUGAGGCCUUUGGAAGAGAUGGGGCUAGAAAAGAGGAGAGAGAUUGCAUCUCACCUUCAGGGACAUCAAUAGGAAGCCCUGAGAGUUAGGCUCAGGAGUUCCUGACACUCCUUUGCCUGGGGCUGCAGCCAGCAGCUUCUGCUGCUCCACAUCAGCACUGCCCAUCUGUUCAGGAAACAUACUGCAGCCUGAGCCCUUUCCCACACUCCCAGCUCAACGCAGUGAUUGUCUUGGUGUUCAAGUGUCAAGUGUUAAGGUCUUUCAGAAGCCACUGUAUAUGUUUUCUCUGCAUCUCCUCCAGUCUGGCCUCAGCGCAGACAUACAGACUGUCAAUGGCUUGGCCUUCCUGAUCCAAUAUGACAUCCUGGCACCGAGUCUCCUCAUUAGCUUGGUCCUAGGGAUUCCAGCUUCGGAAGCAAGACAGUUCAUGUCGAUAAAUAGUUCUUUGUCUCUGGGUUUCUGGCCCCAUCAGAAGACUGCGGCUCUGCUUAGGAGCUGCUGUCUUGUUGCUAAGAUUCUUGGAGCUCAACCAAAUUCACAUUUCCCAGGAUGGUGGAGAAUAAUGAUUACAAAGCUCUGAAAAUGUAUAUACUGAUUUCAUUCCAACACCACUUAAAAAAUAACCUGGAGUACCCAGAGAAUGCUAUUUUUGGUUUUGUUUGACUUUUGUGUAGCUGAACUUUGAGGGCAAAAGUAAAGUCCUUUUUAAAAAAAUGUGUAUUUUGGUGCAAGUGUCCCCCAUCAAUGUAGUGAGCUCUUCUUGAACAUUACUGUGUGCAAAAUAGCAAUGGGAGAGGCACUAAGAAAAGGCAAGAUUCUCCCACUUUAAUUAGAAGAGAUGAAGUAUAUGAUCUAAAUGUCCUGUUUUCUCUUUUCAUGUUCUGAAUUUUUUAUUUGCCCCAAACAUCAAUCUUUCCCUUUUACAUACUGUCUUCCCUUAUGGCAGGGCCAGCCACUUGAACAUUGUGGAAAUCAUUUCAAGAGUGCUUCCUUCUGGUUGUAUCUUCUUGGAGCCAAAUUAUCUCUGCACUGUCCCCGAUGCCCUUCCUCAAAUCCUAGUUUAGCUCCACAUGCAUACUUAUCAUUCAGUUAAUGGGAAACUUUGUUUUCUUGGCUACGUAGUUAUGACCUUUUCCUGUUUAGUUCUUCCUGCUGAUUACAGAGUUUACUUGUGUGUUUAUUCACCUUGUCUCCCACUAGAAUAUCAUUAACAUUAUACCUGAGAAGGUAGUGACCUUGUCAAAGUAGUGUGUCUAGGCCGCCAAGUUAAAUAGGCCAAAAAGAAAUCAAAGGUUCAAACUACAUAGCAUAUUAUCUACUAAAUCUAAGUAGACUAGAAUUUAGGAAUAUACCUUGAAGCUUGAAUACUUUGUUUCGUACAAAUAAAAACAGGGCCUGCUUUCUGGCUUGUCACUGUGGGAAGUCAACUCAUCACUUAGUUAACUUAGUCUAUGUUCUGGGAGAAUGCUGGCUAGAAAGCACUUUUAAAAACCAGUCUUUCCAUAGCUAAACAGUCUUUCCAUCCAGCAAUCAUCAUUCUCCGUAUUUACCUGAAUGAGCUGAAAACUUAUAUCCACACAAAAUCUUCACAUAAAUGCUUCUAACAGUUUUAUUAUUGCCCCAAAUUGGAAACAACCAUAAUGUCCUUCAAUAGGUAAAUGGAUAAAAAAACCAUGGUACACCAGUGGAAUAUUAUUCAAUAACAAAGAAAAACGUGCUAGCAAGCCACAAAAGAACAAUGAGGGAAACGUCAAUGUACUUGCCAAGUCAAAGAAGUCAGUCUGAAAAGGUUUCAUACUACAUGAAGUUCCCACCUAUAUGACCUUCUGGAAGAGGCAAAACUAUAGAGACAGUAAAAAGGUCAGGGGUUGCAGGAGUUAGGAGUUGGGCAUGAAGAGGUGACCCACACAGGAUUUUUAGGGCAGUGAAUCUAUUCUUAAUGAUAUUGUAAUGGCAGAUACAUGACAUUAUACAUUUGGCAGAAUCCAUAGAGGUUAUAUUCUAUGGGCUUUAAUGAAUAAUAAUGUAUCAAUAUGGAUUGAUCAAUUGUAACAAAUGUCCCAUCAAGGCAGAUGUAAAUAAUAGGGAAAACUGUGUGUGUGGCAGGGUUGGGGUUAGGUGGGAGUGGGAACCAGGAAGGAAUAGAUGGGAACUCUAGGCACCUUCUGUUAAAUUUUUCUGAAAACCUAAAAUAUAAACCUACUAAUGGGAAUAAAACACCCAACUUAAUCAAUUUAUUUUUUGACUUUUUAAAAAAAAUUUCCAAUAAAAUCUAUUGAGCACCUAGCAUUUUUCAGGCAUCACACAGGCCACACCAUUAGGGUAAUCUAUAGCAUUUGUUCACAGAGAGGGAGUUCCAGUGUUGUCAUUUAAAGAAACUCAGUUCUCUAUAAGGUUGAAAUAGAUAAUAGCAAAUGUUGCUGAAGGAUGAUGUGGAAGAGAUCCCAACUUUUGAGGAUAAAGUCAAAGAGCAUGAGCCCUUCCAUAAUCCACAGCUAAAGGAUAAAAGUAUCCAGAGGUCAGGAACUUUUGUACCUAGAAGCAUAAACCAUCUGCUAAUGUUAGGUAAAAUAAUAAUAAUAUCCAGGAAGAAACUAUGGAGCAGAACUCAGGUUUAAGAAACAAUAUACAUAUUACUUUUUUUUUUAACUGACAGUAACACAGCUUGAGUACCCUGAUUUUAUUCCUUAGGUAGAGAAGAAAUUCAAUAUCGAUUAUUAGUGGGGCCCCCUCCCUUCCUCCCAUUAAAGUUGAGAGUAGGACGGUGAUUCAAGAUUCCUGGCUACUGGGAACAUGAGGGAGGCACCUGGACUGUUGCACAUGGAAGGUCCGUUGUUGAAUUAUUCUUUUGCUUCCCUGGUUGUGUCUGGUGCUGUGACCCUCUGUCAUCUGCACAACACUGCAUCUUGGAAAGGACUUCCAACUAUUCUGGUUUUAUUCUCCCUUGUUGACCUUAAGUUUUCUUUUGUCCAUAGGCUUGAUCACAGGGAACUUCUCAAGGCCACUCUCUGUGCUUAGUGCCUAGCCUUCAGAGGCACCUUGCAGUCACCUCCCACCCAAGGUCAAGGCACUGUGGGACACAGCAUGGAGUAGAGUGUGGGUCUCUACCUCUUGGAUACCUCCUGCUCCUUUGUCCACCAUUUCCUCUAGUCUACCUCCAUCAUAAACUAUCAUAAAUAUUAUGGAAGAUAGUAUGGAAAUUAUUGAAAAAUUAAAAAUAGCACUAUCAUAUCAUCAAACAAUCUUACUACUGAGUAUAUAUCCAAAGGAAAUUAAAUCAGCCUGGUGAAGAGACAUCUGCCAUUCCCAUGUUUAUUGUAGCAUUAGUCACAAUAGCCAAGAAGUGUAAAUAACUUAAGCAUCAGUCAACUGAUGAAUGAAAAAUGUGGUACUUACACACAAUAAAAUACUAUUCAUUGUGUGUAUAUACCAGUUUCUUUAUCCAUUCAUCUACUGAAGGGCAUCUAGGUUGGUUCCACAGUUUAGCUAUUGUGAAUUGUGCUGCUAUAAACAUUGAUGUGGCUGUGUCCCUGUAGUAUGCUGAUUUUAAGUACUUUUGGUAUAGACCGAGGAGUGAGAUAGCUGGUCAAAUGGUAGUUCCAUUCCAAAUUUUCUAAGGAAUCUCCAUACUGCUUUCCAUAGUGGUUGCCCCAAUUUGCAGUCCCAUCAGUAAUGUAUGAGUGUACCUUUCUCCCCACAUCCUUGCCAACAUUCAUUGUUGUCUGUAUUCUUGAUAGCUGCCAUUCUGACUGGUGUGAGAUGAAAUCUUAGAGUAGUUUUGAUUCGCAUUUCUCUAAUUACUAGAGACGUUAAACAUUUUUUCAUAUAUUUGUUGAUCAAAUGUAUAUCUUCUUCUGAGAACUGUCUGUUCAGCUCCUUAGCCCAUUUAUUGAUUGGGUUGUUUGGUUUUUUGGUGUUAAGUUUUUUGAGUUCGUUAUAUAUCCUGGAGAUUAGUGCUCUAUCUGACAUGUAGGUGGCAAAAAUUUUCUCCCAAAAUGUAGGCUCUCCAUUCACCUCAUUGAUUGUUUCUUUUGUUGAGAAGAAGCUUUUUAGUUUGAGUCCAUUCCAUUUAUUAAUUCUUGAUUUUAUUUCUUGUGCUUUAGGAGUCUUGUUAAGGAAGUUGGGGCCUAAUCUGACAUGAUGAAGAUUUGGACCUAUUUUUCUGCUAUUAGGUGCAGGGUCUCUUGACUAAUCCUAAGUCCUUGAUCCUCUUUGAGUUGAGUUUUAUGCAUGGUGAGAUAUAGGGGUUUAUUUUCAUUUUUCUGCAUAUGUAUUUCCAGUUCUCCCAGCACCAUUUGUUGAAGAGGCUAUUUUUUCUCUACUGUAUGUUUUUGGCACCUUUUCUAGUAUUAUAUAACUAUAUUUAUGUAUGUUUGUUUCUGUGUCUUCUAUUCUGUACCAUUUGUCUACAUGUCUAUUUUGGUUAAAAUUAUGGCAUUUGCAGGUAAAUGGAUGGAGUUGGAGAAUAUCAUGCUAAGUGAAGUAAGCCAAUCCCAAAAAAACAAAGGCUGAAUGUUCUCUCUGAUAAGUGGAUGCUAAUCCAUAAAAAGAAGGGGAGAGGCAUGUAUAAAAUGGAGGAACUUUGGGCAAAGGGGAGGGAGGGUAAGGAGGGUUCACGGGGACAGGAAACAUGAUAGAAUGAGAUGGUGGAAUGAGAGUCAUUACCCUGGGUACAUGUAUGACUGCACAUAUGGUGUAACACUACAUUGUAUACAACCAUAGAAAUGUAAAGUUGUGCUGCAAUUGUAUACAAUGAAUCAAAAUGCAUUCUGCUGUCAUAUAUACCUAAUUAAAAUAAAUAAAUUAAUUAAAAAUAAAAUAAAAUGAGUUUAUUGUGUCAAAAACAAAAAUACUAUUUAGUCAUGAAAAAGAUAAAAAUAUUGUCAUUUGCAACAACAUGGCUGGAAUUGGAGAUAAUUAUGUUAAGUGAAAUAAGCCAGGCACAGGUAGACAAGUACUGCAUGAUCUCACUCAUUUGUGGAAUAUAAAAAACUCAAUCUCAUAGAAGUUGGGAGUAGAAUGGUAAGUAC
rnacentral:lncRNA from 1 species